CCACCUCUAGACCACCAAAUGGCGAGCUGCGAGCAUCGAUAGACUCGUCUCUUCCUCCUUAUCACGCAUGUGGGAGUUGUUUACGACGAUUUGGCCGGAAAUGUGGAGAUCGAAGCCAACAUUUUUACUGUAGCAAAUUAGUCAACGCCGAUUUCCGGCCACCUCCAGUCAUAAACCCAGGUCCAUUAGAAGCGCCUUAAGCCGCUCUUCAUGCUCGCCAAGUCUCAUAACCCAGAUCGAAGCAUGGAGGAAGAAAGCAUAAUUGGAAAAUUUCACUGUACAUCGGAGUGCUUAAUUGUUCGGCUACUUCAAGGUGAUUGACGGUUUGAGUUGGUGGACGAUUGUGGAUCGUAUUUUGAGCUGAAUUGAAGACGCAGCGGGAUUAUCGAGCGGGAAAUCCUACAGGACAGGAGAACCAGGACGGUGAUCGUGCGGUUAGAGCAAUUGUUAGAGUUUUACAGCAAUUGUAAGUUGUGAGGUGCGUUAUGCUCAUUUAGAGCUUUACAAUAUUGCUUGUGAGAGUGAAUUGUAAUAAUGAACUCGAGGUUUCGAGAUUUGGAGUUUGUGUACCGUGUGGUGAAGUUAUAUUGAGAAAAAAAAAUUCAGAAUGUUUAUUUGAUUAAAUGGUUUAAUUC